rnacentral:rRNA from 1 species
AUUGAACGCUGGCGGCAGGCUUAACACAUGCAAGUCGAGCGGGGGAGGUUGCUUCGGUAACUGACCUAGCGGCGGACGGGUGAGUAAUGCUUAGGAAUCUGCCUAUUAGUGGGGGACAACAUCUCGAAAGGGAUGCUAAUACCGCAUACGUCCUACGGGAGAAAGCAGGGGACCUUCGGGCCUUGCGCUAAUAGAUGAGCCUAAGUCGGAUUAGCUAGUUGGUGGGGUAAAGGCCUACCAAGGCGACGAUCUGUAGCGGGUCUGAGAGGAUGAUCCGCCACACUGGGACUGAGACACGGCCCAGACUCCUACGGGAGGCAGCAGUGGGGAAUAUUGGACAAUGGGGGGAACCCUGAUCCAGCCAUGCCGCGUGUGUGAAGAAGGCCUUUUGGUUGUAAAGCACUUUAAGCGAGGAGGAGGCUACUGGUAUUAAUACUACCGGAUAGUGGACGUUACUCGCAGAAUAAGCACCGGCUAACUCUGUGCCAGCCGCCGCAGUAAUAC